rnacentral:misc_RNA from 1 species
UCUCCGUAGGUGAACCUGCGGAGGGAUCAUUACUGAGUUCUGGGUCUAAUCGACCCGACCUCCAACCCUUUGUUGUCCGACUCUGUUGCCUCGGGGGCGACCCUGCCGUCCGCGGCUGAGCGCCCCCGGGGUCAAUCAAACACUGCAUUCUCUGCGUCGGAGUAUUAGUAAAUCUAAUCAAAACUUUCAACAACGGAUCUCUUGGUUCUGGCAUCGAUGAAGAACGCAGC